UACGGAGGGGGCUAGCGUUGUUCGGAAUCACUGGGCGUAAAGCGUGCGUAGGCGGCCAUUCAAGUCAGAGGUGAAAGCCCAGGGCUCAACCCUGGAACUGCCUUUGAAACUAGGUGGCUGGAACACGGGAGAGGUGAGUGGAAUUCCGAGUGUAGAGGUGAAAUUCGUAGAUAUUCGGAAGAACACCAGUGGCGAAGGCGGCUCACUGGACCGUUGUUGACGCUGAGGCACGAAAGCGUGGGGAGCAAACAGG
rnacentral:rRNA from 1 species